rnacentral:lncRNA from 1 species
CCGCCUUGCUCCGCCCCCUCCGUCCGCCGCGCCUGCAGCCGCGCCUGCACGCCGUCAGCGACGCCGCCGCCUCUCAUUCCCUGCCUUCUUCUCCCCUCUCCUUCCUUGCGACUGCGAUUGUGACCAACCGUGAAGAAGCCGCCCGUCCAGGCCUAGAUCGAGCCCCCCGCCUCCCCACCGAGUCCACCGCGCACCACCGCGGGAGUCAGGGGCACCGAGAUCCCCGCCGCCUGCUCGUACGAUGGCAUAGCCAUCCCGCGCUCCUAGGCUCCCGCUUCGACGCCCACAAGGUCGCCGACCUCUUCCCGCAGGUUCGGUUCUGGAAAAUUCCCAUCCUCUCGUCUCAUCCCACGCCGUACAAAUUCGGAGUGAUUCCUCCCUGCGUAGGAAGUAUCAGUAGCCUCAAUUGCUCCUCCCCCUCCCGCAUCCCUCCACUCCCUGUCUCCAUCUCCGGCGGCGAUGACCAUGGAGACCGGUCUCUAUCCCCAUCCCGGCCGGCAUGUGGACAAGAGGAAGCCCAGCGUCGACCACCAUCUCGCCCGGCGGCCGCAGCGACCACUAUUCAGCAAUCUCGUCCCCAUCCCCAUGUGGCCAUGUGAAACAAGAAGAUAGAGCUACAGGUGCAAGGGGAUGGGGUCAUAACCGGCGGUGACCCGGAUGUGGCCACUAUAUUUUUUACUAAGUACAGUGCUUGUGUACGAGUAAUUUGAGGAGUAUCAAGCUGGAUGCUUGCUGCCUUUUCCUGAAGCUCAGGUGCACCAAAAAUAUUCAGUGUUUGUCUUUUUUACUUAGUGAUGAAAUUAGUAUACAUGUUAGAUAGGUGAAGUGGUACAUUUGCUUGCGUAUGAGUAAUUUGAGGAGUAGUAUCAAGCUGGAUGCUCUAUUCUGAAUUUCAGUAGUAUAUGAGUUUCAAAGAAAUCCCUGCGCAUAAGCAGACUACAUUGCUGCUUACGGAGGUGACCUGAGUGCUGCGAGUAGACUACUUGUGGAUUGCUAAUUAGAUAGACUUUGUACACAUGUGAGCAGAUUUCAGUUUUGACUCAUGUAGAACAAGGUAUAAUCUUCUUGAGAGUUCGUUCUAAAAAACAAAACAAAAAAUAGCUAUGCAAUUCCAAAGUUUGUCAUCAAAACAUUAUUUGGUAUUCAAACCUCAGAGGCAUAGGGCCAAUUCGGUGAACAACCAAACAUGCGAGAUUCUGAAAGCUUGGUGUAGAAAACUAGAAAAAACUGUUCUGCAACUGUUUUUUGUGCCAUUAAGCAUACUGCUUAGAGAUUCAAUUGGUUGAUUUAUGUGUAUUCAGAUGCUUUGUGUAAUUUUACCUGUUAUAUCUGACAACUGUUUAUUGUGGUUUUGAUUUUGUUGCAGUGUUCUCAAGUAUAACAACAUAGUGGGAUCAUUUGUCAACAUAGUGGGAUCAUUUUGCAGAUUCUAGCAAACAACAUAGUGGGAUCAUUUGUCAAGGCCAACAUCAGAGUGCUAAUUUACAGGUAUAAAUAGAUAAAAGUUUCAAAGAGUAGCUCUUUUCUUACCAGCAUCAUGAAGAUUGGGAAUAUUUUGUAGAAAACAAAAAGACGAGGAAACUGAAUCUAAGGACCAGGGCUAAACCUCUGUACUUUACUGUCUUUAACAUGGUAUAAAAUACCUGAACUGAAUUUGUUAAUAGAGCAGUGAAGUGUUCAUGAUCAAACAAUACAAAAAAGAUUCACCCUGCAAUUUUGUGUUUAACAGAAACCAACACUCAAUACUCAGGAGAACACCUACAAGUAUCCAUGAUUACUAAGACCAGUUACAUAUCAGAACUUGCAAACAUUUUAUUACUUGUUGCAUUGGAGGUUCAUCUUGUCUUGAGGCAAACAAAUCAGCAUUGGAGGCUCAUCUUUAUUACAUAUCAGAACUUGCAAACAAAUCUGUGAAAAAGAAAUAACAAGCUUGUCUUGAGGCUCAUCUUUGAUAUAGGUUAUCUGUGUCGGUUGUCGGAGCAUUGGAGGUUACUGCUGAGAGCUGUCACAGCAGUGCGUGGCGCCAGUGAUGGCCAAGCUGCUAGUUCAACUACUGGCCAACUAGUGGCCCUUGUUAUCAAAGUAGUCUUGCCACAUGUUCAUAGUAAUCUCCAACCAUAUUAGCAGUACUGAAUAAAACCUGUCUUGUUUUAUGGGAAUGGUUGAUUACCUUGAUUAUACUUACUGGAUGGUUUAUUUAUAGUUCUUAAAAUAUGAAAAUGAAAAUUAUUUGUAUCCCUCGUUAAAGGUAUUUCUAGCAAAACCUGAAAUGCUAGAUGGAUUGAUUUUUCUGAGCUGUUUGUGCUCCCUGCAUCUUUCAGCUCUCAUUUUCAGUGGAGUUGUUGAAUUAUAUGCUCUUAUUGG